rnacentral:rRNA from 1 species
AAAUCUUUGAACGCAAAUUGCGCUCUUGGGUAGCCCUAGGAGCACGCCUCUCUCAGUAUCGGUUCCAACACCUCUCAGCAGCGUUGUGAAAGCAAUGCGCGCUGGAAAAUGAGAGUCAAUAGACUUGUGCUAUCGUCUCUUGAAAUACAUCGAGUGAGUGUACUGUCCUUCUCAGCUUGUGUUUCGGCACAAUAGCUUGGAUUCGACUGUGUUACAUAAGUGACGUGAAUACUGACCCUUGUGGUCUCAUUUCUACGUCGAUCUUGUGUUUCACAUAUAGUUGAGCUCAAGUGAACGAGUUGGUGAGUCCCUUACGGAACGCGGCAUUCGUGCUGCAAUCGAUUGCAAGCAAUUGUAAUCUGAAUUUUGAUCUGAGAUGAAGCGAGACAACCCCCUGAAUUUAAGCAUAUUAAUAAGGGGAGGAAAAGAAACUAACAAGGAUUCCCCCAGUAACGGCGAGUGAAGCGGGAAGAGCUCAAUUUGAAAAUCGACUUCCUAAGCGGGACGUCGAGUUGUAGCCUAGAGACGCACUAUCAGCUUCAACCUGGGUAUAAGUUCUUUGGAAUGAGGCAUCAUAGAGGGUGAGAAUCCCGUAUAUGACCCAAAGCUUGAAGCGUACGAUGANNGUUCCUCGAGUCGAGUUGUUUGGGAUUGCAGCUCUAAAUGGGUGGUAAGUUCUCAAG